rnacentral:rRNA from 1 species
AUGGCGUCGUCCCGUAGAGUUCUUCCUGAUCUUGCUCUUCUUGUGGUGCUUCUGGUGUCAAUGGCAGCAGGUGUUGCAAUGGGUAGGCCGGCUAGAAGUGACUUGGGCCUGGGUUUAGGUGGUGGGCUAGGCAUAGGGCUUGAUCUUGGGCUCGGUGGAUCCGGUUCGGCCUCUGGUUCGGGCCAGGGGUCGGGUUACAGUGCUUGGUCGGGUCAGAACGGUGGUUCUCAUGCCGCGUCCGGCCGUGGGUCGGGCACCGGCUCCGGUUAUGGGUAUGGCUCUGGCUCUACAAAUGGGGGCUCGGCUUCCGGUUGCGGUUCGGGUACGUCGUCUUGCUCGGGUUCGGGUUCUGGCUCCGGUUCUGUAGGUUUGGGUACAUCGAUCAAUGUCGGUGUUGGUGUCGGUGUCGGCUCGAAUAGCGGGGCGAACGGUGGUCCCGACUGUAACACAGGUCCCGGGUCGAACUAUGGAUCCGGAGUGGGUACGGGUUCGGGCUUUGGGUCCGGGUCUAGUGGAGGUUCAUACCCCUCGCAUGAUUGUGAGUCAUCUGGUAUUGGGUCGGGUUCAGGUGUAUCGUCUGGGUAUGGUGGUGGGUCGAAUGUUGGGUCAAGUGGUGGGUGCUCAUCUUGUGGUUCCGGCUAUGGUGUUGUUGUUGGUGGCUCCUCGUCGAAUUCGAAUUCGGGCGCUGGUUCGGGCUCCAACUCCUAUGGAGGGUCAAACGCCGGUUCUUACUCGAAUUCUGGAGCUGGUUCCGGCUCAAGCGUAGGCUCGGGAUUUGAUUCCUCUCGCUCAGGUUCAAGUUCAUCUUCUGGGUCAGGUGCGGCUUCAUUCGGUGGAUCACGUGGCGGUUCAAACUCCAAUUCUGGUUCUACGUCGGGUGCAAACUCAGGGUCAAACUCUGGUGCGUUCGGUGCAUCAGGUAGUGGAUCAAACUCCAUGUCGGGUGCAAACUCGGGUGCGUUCGGUGCAUCAGGCGGUGGAUCAAACUCCAUGUCGGGUUCAGGGUCAAGCUCUAGCUCCGGCUCUAUGUCGGGUGCAAACUCUGAUGCUGGUUCGAGCUCUGGUGCGUUCGGUGCAUCAGGCAGUGGGUCAAACUCCAUGUCGGGUUCAGGUUCAGGUUCAGGGUCAGGCUCCAACUCUGCAUCCGACUCAAGCUCAGGGUCUACGGGAUUUGGUUCUAGCGCGGGCGCCGGUUCUAGCUCGACCGCCUGGUCCGGCGCCGGUUCAGGUCCGAACCCUGGCUCGUUCUCCGGAGCAGGAUCCUCCAGCUGGUCCAGCUCGACGUCCGGCUCAACCUCGGGAGCAGGGUUCGGUCCCGGGGCACGGCCGGGCUUCGGCGUGGGCGGAGGAGGAGCAGGGUACGGCGCGGGUUACGGGUCCGGAGGCGGGUCUGGCUGGGGCAAGCACCACUGA